rnacentral:rRNA from 1 species
AGCGAACGCUGGCGGCAGGCUUAACACAUGCAAGUCGAGCGCCCCGCAAGGGGAUCGGCAGACGGGAGAGUAACACGUGGGAACAUACCUUUUGGUUUGGAACAACUUAGGGAAACUUCAGCCAAUACCGGAUAAGCCCUUACGGGGAAAGAUUUAUCGCCGAAAGAUUGGCCCGCUGCUGAUUGGCUAGUUGGUGGGGUAACGGCGCGCCAAGGCGACGAUCAGUAGCUGGUCUGGGAUGCUGUGGAGCCUCACUGGGGCUGCGACACGGGCCAGACUCCUACGGAAGGGAGCAGUAGGGAGUAUUAGGCGCUGGGGGCAACCCUGACCAAGCCACGCCGCGUGAGUGAUGAAGGCCUUAGGGUUGUAAAGCUCUUUUGGCCGGGAAGAUAAUGACGGUACCGGGAGAAUAAGCCCCGGCUAACUUCGUG